UCCCAUUCACACUCCAUUCACACUCUAUUCGAACUCUUUGCCCACAUCCUUCAAACUCUUUCCUCUGCAGCCCGCCGCCCACAGCCACCGUAGUCUCUGCCGCCACUGCAGCCACGCAGCCCCGCAUCAGCCCUCGCAGCUCCCCGCAACCCCCACAGCCUCGCAGCCCCGCAGCGGCGCAGCCACCGCAGCUCCUACACAGACACAGCCUCCACCGCCACCGUAGAAGAUCUGUCGCCGUUGUAGGAAGCUGUGUUGCCGUGAUUGGAAGCUUCCUCGCCGUCGUUUGGAAGCUCGUUGGCCGUCUCCUCUGUUCGAGCGCUCUCCUUCUCUCUCUGUGUCGCCGUUGUGUUUCUGCCACUGCCCUUCUUCCUCGCAGCCGGUAUCUGCUUUGAAUGAGGCAAGACCAGGAAGUGUUAAGUCAGUUUUUAAAGCUUGGGAGGAGCGUCUGAAUUCUUCUGGGAACGAGCUGCUGUUUGCAGAGAUAAGAUUACAUGCAGAAGAGGGAGGUAGACUUGCAUAACAACAACCAGUUUCUUAGAGCUAAGGAGAGAAGUGAUUGAUGAAGGAGGAUGGUUGCAUACAGGAGAUAUUGGAAUGUGGUUACCUGGUGGUCGUCUCAAAAUUAUUGAUAGGUAUAUAUAUGGCAGAGUUUCUCCUAAAUUAGAUGUCUUUGCUUUUGGGGCUUUAUGAGCUUAUUUCUGCUAAAGAAGCUGUGAUCAAUGGUGGUGCUGAUUCCUAAUUCCUAAUAAACAAUUGGCUUACUUCAAGUCGGUCCAACAUGUCUACUUAUGUUGAGGGUGAGAUGAAGAGAUCUGGUUCCGAAUUGAAUUCUCAGGAUGUCUCAGACAACAGCACAGAUUCCUUCAGGAGGAAUGCAUUUCCAAGUAUGUCACAGAGACCCAGCAACCUCAGAGUAUUCUCUGUAUCCGAGCUGAAAUGCCACGAAGAAUUUCAGCCGGUCCGUUAUGCUUGGAGAGGGUGGGUUUGGGUGUGUCUACAAGGGACUUAUCAAGAGUGCUGAUGAUCCUUCUUUUCUAAUUUUUCCGGUGAUUUUUGUGGCAGUUUCAUCAAGUUUUUGUCAUGCACCACCCUCCUUCACUUCCCUCCUCAUCCAACGGUUAAGAUAUUAUUUUCUUCCUCCUCCUCUUUUUUUUUUUAAUAAGUCUCAAUAUAUAUUUAUUAUAAUACAGAUAUAUAUAUAUAUAUUGGGUGUAGAAUGCCGGGAUUUUAUUACUACUAUUAGAAUUGCUACUAUUAUAAUACAAAUAUAAUCAGUGGAUCAGAGCCUAAGACAUUUAAUUCAUCAUUUCUAUGUAUUUAGUUGUUUUCAUAUUCUAUAUAUUUGUCAGAUGAUAUAUCAGGAAAAAAGAGAAAAAAAAACGCAAAAAAAGGUUUUGCACUUUUGCUUGCCGUGGCUGGUCUCUAUUCCUUUGGAAACUUAUUUGAGAUGCAAGAGUAGAUUUUUGUUAUUAAUGCCAUCAAUUAACUUAUUUUUCAUGCAAAUUGUGGUCAAUGAUAGCAUAUUUAUGGCUGAACAACCUAAUUCUGUGUUACUUAGGUGUAAAAAAUACAUUGUCAGAACCCAUGAAAUACACUGCCAGAACCAGAGAGAACAGUCCAAGAUCUUCUGGUACCUCACCGCUUAGGACUCUCAGAAUUCAGUCUUUGGGAAAGCUGAAUCCAAUUGAUUUGAAGCGCUUGUCUUUCCAUAUGUCACCACCUCAGAGGGCAACUCAAAACAAGAAGAUUAAUGAGGAACCAGACAGAGAAAUGGAAGUGGAUCACAAAGAUGUAAAAGCUGAAAAGGAUGACACACCAGAGUUAUAGUCGAUAGUUUUAGUAUGGUUAAACAACAUACUGGGAAUUAUAGUUGAUGAUCAAUACACUUUGUUUAUGUUUUAAAUUAUAUUGACUUGUUUGUUUA